AUGACAGAGAAGGAGGAGGCCCGACUCCUUCAACGUGUCAUGGAAGAAUCCAUGAACAUGCACGAUGAGUGCCAAUGGGAGGGCCUGGAGACCAUGAUUGCCCUCUCUGCGGCCGGCGACGUGGCCGAGCCGGAGCUAGAGAUGAUGGAGGAGGUGAAGAAGAAGGUGCUGGAGGAGCAUCCCGUCGCUGCGUUCCACCCGAGCCUGGUGGGCCAGUGGUGGAGCUGGUCGUGCACGGCCACCGACAUGGCCGACGCCGUGAGGGGCGUGAACUGGUGCACUACGCCGCCACGGUCACCGGAGCGUGAGACGUCGCCACGGGGUGAGGUGGUGCAGGCGCCUCGCACCUUUCAGGAGCCUCCCGCCUUCCAGGAACCGGCCCACCUCUGGACGCCGCCGGCCAACAUCGACCUCAUUGCCUCCAACGACGACAACGGCGACGCUCGCGCGUCGGGUGCACCAACACGGCAGUGGUGCCAAGCGAUCAUGGAAGACCUCAUUGCGGCCACAAACAAACGAAAGCAGGUCAAAACGAAUGUCCCGGCGGCGUCCGGGGCACGGAUCCGGGUGAGGCUGCUCGGGGUCUGGUGCGUGGUGGUCAGCCUCGAGUUCGGUGGGCUGCAGGCGGCGCUGUGGUUUGGCUGCGGCAGGGAGGAGGGAGGAUGGCGGCGCGGCGGCGCCGCUCUUGGCGGUGGGCGCGGGGCUGCCAUGACGGCGUGUGGUGUCAUGGUGGUUUUGCUGGUCGUUCACCUACCUACACACACAUACCAAUAUACCAUGGCGCCAUCAGUGGCCUGCUCCUUCUUCUUCGACAAUGAGCUGCUCGGCGAGCCCGGCAUGCCAGCGAUGGACGCGUGCGCGCUCUGCGCCAAGCCGCUGGCGUGCGACCACGACGUCUUCAUGUACAGAGGGGACACGCCCUACUGCAGCGAGGAGUGCCGCCACGAGCAGAUGCACCUCGACGCCGUCUAUGCCAAGCAGGCCGCGCGGAGGCAGCAGCGGUUCUCGGCGGGGACGGAGUCCCACCGUGGGCAGCGGCAGUCCAGCAAGGUGUCCGUCGCGAGCUAA
rnacentral:rRNA from 1 species